UUUCACUAGCCACCAUUUCUCAAAAAGGAGAAGAUCUUGCAAUUAUCAAAGGGAAGCAAAGAGGUUUCAAGAAUAAUUAAAGCCAGUCAAACUUUGACUGUUGAUUUUUGUGUAAUCAAGAGUUUAGAGAAGAAGUUGCAGGUACAAGUUCUUGAUGUGCAUGGAAAUCAUAAGCAUCCGGAUGGGAGUUUUAGUACACGAGUACUUUCUUAUUUAAGUUAUCUUGAAUUUUAUAUUUGACUUUACUUGACCAAUGGGGUCAAGGUUUGACUUUUGAAGAUGGGACUAGUAUGGGAUAGUCUCGGAGUUUGUAAUUCAUUUACAUACUUUCUUAUUUCGUUGUAUUAAAGUAUUUUCAGUUUAUUUUAAAAGACUUCCGCUGUAUUAUCUGAUUAGCCUUACGUAUUAUCAUGCGUGGCAUAACAACUCCCGCAAUUUCUCCUAGUUUAUAAAAGGAGGAGUCGUGGGGGUGUUACAAAGUGGUUACCAGAGCUCCAAGGUUUAUAUUACCUUAUUUUACAAAAGUUUUCGAACUUAAAAGUAUUUCAAAGUCGAAUUGCAAAAAGGGAAGGGAAUUGCAUAUGCAUAUGUACAUUGCGUCGCAUUAGCCACUAAGU